rnacentral:piRNA from 1 species
UUAAAGAAACUUGACCAAAAGACAGU